UACGUAGGGUGCAAGCGUUAAUCGGAAUUACUGGGCGUAAAGCGUGCGCAGGCGGUUUCGUAAGUCUGUCGUGAAAUCCCCGGGCUUAACCUGGGAAUGGCGAUGGAGACUGCGAGGCUAGAGUUUGGCAGAGGGGGGUAGAAUUCCACGUGUAGCAGUGAAAUGCGUAGAUAUUACUAAGAACACCAAUGGCGAAGGCAGCUUGCUGGGCUACUCCUGACACUGAGGUACGAAAGCGUGGGGAGCGAACAGG
rnacentral:rRNA from 1 species